rnacentral:tRNA from 1 species
CGGGGUGUAGCGCAGUUUGGCCAGCGCGCUUGAAUGGGGUUCAAGAGGCCGGAGGUUCAAAUCCUCUCACUCCGACCA